rnacentral:rRNA from 1 species
UACGGGGGGGGCAAGCGUUGUUCGGAAUUACUGGGCGUAAAGGGCUCGUAGGCGGCCAACUAAGUCAGACGUGAAAUCCCUCGGCUUAACCGGGGAACUGCGUCUGAUACUGGAUGGCUUGAGGUUGGGAGAGGGAUGCGGAAUUCCAGGUGUAGCGGUGAAAUGCGUAGAUAUCAGGAAGAACACCAACGGCGAAGGCAGCUCGCUGGGACGGUACUGACGCUGAGACGCGAAAGCGUGGGGAGCGAACAGG